CGGGCAUAUGACCGACCUUCAACGUUGAAAUUUGGUUGAAAUUAGGUCAGUUGUUUGUUCAACGUUGAAACAACGUUGAAACAACGGUGAAUGGUAAACGGUUGAAAAAGGUUAAUAAAAUGCUUAAAAAUCAACGUUGAAAUUUGGUUGAAAUAACGUCAGUUGUUUGUUCAACGUUGAUUCAACGUUGAAACAACGUUGAAACAACAGUGAAGUAAAUGGUUGCAGAGAGACAAUAAAAUAAUGUUUUAUAAUAUGUGAAUCAUUCAGAAAAAAAAUUUAAAAACUCAUUUUAUAAAAUUGAUGAAAUUAUAAAAAAAUGUAACAAAUAAUUGAAUAUACAGGUAUCGAGGUAAUCUCGCGAGAUUACACGAGACUGGACUGUUUUAACGGCUGUCUGCGAGAUCUUGCGUAGCACCUUAACGUUGUAUGCCACCCGCCAAACAUAAGAAGAAGAAGAAGAAGAAGAGAUCUUGCAUAUCACAUGAGAAAAUGCUUCAGAGAAAGAAGAGGUAAGGAAAUAUAAGUCAAUGUAAACGUAUAACGUUAUUUUAUUCACAUAUACAAAGUGGUAUGACAAAAAGCACGAUGCCAAAGCGGGGUUUUUUCUGUUAGUUGCGAAUGUAUUCGUUAUAGUAGUUACUUUACUAGUCCACGGGAUGUUCCCGCCGAAAUCGGACUUCGUUAUUAUGAAUAUUAAUAAAUUAAUAUGAGGUGUGGUGUUAUCAACUUAACCACUUGGUUUUUGCUUCAGAAAAGCAACUAGUUAUAAAUGUAGGGGCUUUUUUGGACAACUUCGGUGAAAAAGUGUUGAUUUCGUAGUUCAGUCAGCGUAACUUAUAUCCGAGAGGUCUUACAGGCGCCACAGACACCUAUCAGCCUUUUGUAAGGAGGAGCAGCUCGAGUGCGGUGCGGUCCGGUCAGUGUUAAGCUGCUUAGUUUCUUAAAUUCAUAUUACUGAUAAAGUGUUAAAACUUAGAUGAGAUGUUGGUUUUAUGGCUCACGAAUUCGCAAUAACGGAUACGUUUAGCAGUUCGUGUUAAUGACAUUAAUCCAAACUUAUUGAUGACGUGAUAACAUGGGCGUCGAAUCCAAUAUUAAUCAUGCUGAGGUUUUCUCGACGGGGUAAUGUGUAUAAAUGCAGUUAUAAAAUUAAAAGGGACAAGAUAGUCGACGUGACCCUCAUGUUUCCAUGGCAAUCAGUCAAUUACAUGUUACGCUUAUGAUCGCACCUGCGGUCAUUCGCGCAGUAUCCAUGAUUUUAAGCGGCAUGAAACACUUAAGUUAACUCCUUUGUACGAAAAUAUCAUGUCGUAGCUCUUCAAAUUAGAAUAGUGAUGAUGAUCUUGUCAAUGCUGAGAUUUUCAUGCAUCAACAGCCACUACAUCUGGAUCAGAUUGAACAAGAAACAGACAGCAAGGGUUGUCAGAUCAGAAACAGAAUGACACACAAGAAACUUCACAGGCAGAUCAACAUGCAAUUUGAAGACGUGUGAUAAAAUACAGAGAGGUGAAGUAGUGUGUCUUUUCAGAUCCCCAUAUCAUUCCUUCUUAAAAGAUGAACCUGAAGAGGAGAUUUGGGAAGAUGCUGUUUCGUAAGUCUCUUUGCCAGAUCACCUGUGGUCAGGAUGUCUGCUAACAAGAUGCCUUGCUGGUCUGGGCGAGUUUAAAGGCUUACACAGACAAUCCAGAAGUUCUGAAGUCCAUCUUCGAUUUCAUUGAUGCUGUCAUCGUAUUAAGUACAGCAUGAGCCAGAAUAGAUGGGGGGUGGUGGCCAUAAGAAGACUGUCAACUAAACCAACAACAAAAUUCAUAUUUGCAGUUUUUCUAUUCAGAUUAAUA